GAGAGGUCCAAGCGUUAGUCGGAAUCACUGGGCUUAAAGGGUGCGUAGGCGGACCGGAAAGCGUCUUGUGAAAUCCCCUGGCUCAACCAGGGAAAUGCAGGGCGAACUCCCGGUCUCGAGGAAGCUAGAGGCCGGCGGAACGAUCGGUGGAGCGGUGGAAUGCGUAGAUAUCGAUCGGAACGCCAAAGGUGAAGACAGCCGGCUGGGGCUUUCCUGACGCUGAGGCACGAAAGCGUGGGUAGCAAACAGGAUUAGAUACCCUGGUAGUCCACGCCCUAAACGAUGCACAUUAGACUGGUGCGGCUCUGACGUCGUAUCGGUCGUAGAGAAAUUGAUAAAUGUGCCGCCUGGGGAGUACGGUCGCAAGGCUA
rnacentral:rRNA from 1 species